CUUGUGCGAUGAUGAAUAAUGAAAUAGAGAAACUCAUGUCAGACUUUAGAGAUAUUUCGAUAUCAAUGAGAAGACGUUUCAUUUGUCUGAGCCAGG